GUGGAGACACCGGUUCUCGUACGAUCACUGAAGUUAAGCAACGACAAGCCUGAUCAGUAACUAGAUGGGUGACAAUUUUGGAAUACAAGGUAUUGUAAG